rnacentral:rRNA from 1 species
GAUGAACGCUAGCGGCAGGCUUAAUACAUGCAAGUCGUGGGGCAGCAUGAGUAGCAAUACUUGAUGGCGACCGGCAAACGGGUGAGGAACACGUACACAACCUUCCUUCAAGCGGGGAAUAGCCCAGAGAAAUUUGGAUUAAUACCCCGUAAUAUAUUUGAUAAGGCAUCUUAUUAAUAUUAAAAGCUUCGGCACUUGAUGAUGGGUGUGCGGCUGAUUAGAUAGUUGGCGGGGUAACGGCCCACCAAGUCUACGAUCAGUAGCUGAUGUGAGAGCAUGAUCAGCCACACGGGCACUGAGACACGGGCCCGACUCCUACGGGAGGCAGCAGUAAGGAAUAUUGGACAAUGGACGAAAGUCUGAUCCAGCCAUGCCGCGUGAAGGAUUAAGGUCCUCUGGAUUGUAAACUUCUUUUAUAUGGACGAAAAAGGGCAAUUCUUGUUCACUUGACGGUACCAUAUGAAUAAGCACCGGCUAACUCCGUGCCAGCAGCCG